GACUCUCUGUGAGUGAUUCACUUAGCCUCACCGGCUAGAGACACGCUGCACAGAUUUCUAGAACAUGUUGAUCUCUGUUACCCUGCGUCUCCAGAGCUCUAAUCGUGGCUGUACAGGAAAUACUGCAUUGAUACACAUCAGAGUUUGAAAGAAAGGACCUGAAAAACAGCACCUGUGGGGCAACCAUACCAUGUUGUGUGUCUGGGAGGUUUUGUCUACACUAUCCCACCAUAUCUUUAUAAACUUUCGAGCUUGUCCAUGGCUCAACUUUCUGAUGGCCCCACAGGCUCAGAGCAAUUUAUUGACCCAAAGUUACACAACUAAAAAGAACCCAGGUGCCUGUUCUCUUUCCUCAAAGACCCUGUUUCAGGAGUUAAGAGUAUGGGCUCGGGGCUGGGGAUUUAGCUCAGUGGUAGAGCGCUUACCUAGGAAGCGCAAGGCCCUGGGUUCGGUCCCCAGCUCCGAAAAAAAAGAACCAAAAAAAAAAAAAAA
rnacentral:lncRNA from 1 species